rnacentral:rRNA from 1 species
AUUGAACGCUGGCGGCAUGCCUUACACAUGCAAGUCGAACGGUAACGGGCCUUCGGGUGCCGACGAGUGGCGAACGGGUGAGUAAUACAUCGGAACGUGCUCGAUCGUGGGGGAUAACGAGGCGAAAGCUUUGCUAAUACCGCAUACGAUCUACGGAUGAAAGCAGGGGACCGCAAGGCCUUGCGCGGACGGAGCGGCCGAUGGCAGAUUAGGUAGUUGGUGGGAUAAAAGCUUACCAAGCCGACGAUCUGUAGCUGGUCUGAGAGGAUGAUCAGCCACACUGGGACUGAGACACGGCCCAGACUCCUACGGGAGGCAGCAGUGGGGAAUUUUGGACAAUGGGCGCAAGCCUGAUCCAGCCAUGCCGCGUGCAGGAUGAAGGCCUUCGGGUUGUAAACUGCUUUUGUACGGAACGAAAAGCCUUCUUUUAAUACAGGAGGGUCAUGACGGUACCGUAAGAAUAAGCACCGGCUAACUACGUG